rnacentral:tRNA from 2 species
GACUUUUUAACUAUAUAAAGUAUAUAUUUUGAAAAUAUAAAAAAAGGAAUACCUUAAAAGUCU